UUGAAGAGUUUGGCAGUAGUAUGAUUAUGAGCACUUCUGUAGCAUCAAUUCUUUAGUUUUGAAUUUUAGUUCAAAUGGGUUUCAACUUAGCAUGAUUUGUUUGGUUAACCACAAUGCUUGAAUUUUCAAUAUUUUCAGGGAUACUGGUGGAUUGCAACAAGUGACUUUCAAACUUCAGUUUGCAGAGUCCACUCUUUUUGUUGAGGCAGUUCGUGUAUUUUAUAAGAUUGUGAUUGAAAGAGCAGGUUUCACGAGGUGCAUAAGGCUCAUAGAUAAAUCCUGGACUUGUCAUGGAAACUCUAAGAGCUCCCUGCAUAUAUCAUAAGGACAGCUUAUCAAAGAAGAGAAGAUGGUGAUCAGUUUACCUGCUUUGACAGAAACUCAAGUGUAAGCUGUAUAAGCACCUUUUCGAGAUCUUUUGGAUCACUACCAAUAUGUAAUGAGGAGAGAAGGGAUAAGGCAAAUGAGUACCAAGUUUGAUUCAUGGGUCUAGCUAGUAGCUAGGAAUAAUGCUUUUGAUUCAUGUGUAGGUAGUAGCUAGGAAGGCUUUCUUGUUUAGUACAUUAUCUAAUAACUUGAAUGUUUGGAAGUUUGAAAAA